UACGUAGGGGGCAAGCGUUGUCCGGAUUUAUUGGGCGUAAAGAGCGUGUAGGCGGCCUGAAAGGUCAGCUGUGAAAACUCGAGGCUCAACCUCGAGACGUCGGUUGAAACCAUCUGGCUAGAGUCCGGAAGAGGAGAGUGGAAUUCCCGGUGUAGCGGUGAAAUGCGCAGAUAUCAGGAGGAACACCUAUUGCGAAGGCAGCUCGCUGGGACGUUACUGACGCUGAGACGCGAAAGCGUGGGGAGCAAACAGG
rnacentral:rRNA from 1 species